GCCGGGUAAGUCUUAUACGACCAGCUCCCUCUGAAUCCUCCAGGUUCGGAAGAAAGCAAAGGUAGGAGGUUGUAGCGGUGCGAUAUAAGUAGCUUACCCU
rnacentral:SRP_RNA from 1 species